rnacentral:rRNA from 1 species
GAUGAACGCUGGCGGCGUGCCUAAUACAUGCAAGUCGAGCGAACGGACGAGAAGCUUGCUUCUCUGAUGUUAGCGGCGGACGGGUGAGUAACACGUGGAUAACCUACCUAUAAGACUGGGAUAACUUCGGGAAACCGUAGCUAAUACCGGAUAAUAUUUUGAACCGCAUGGUUCAAAAGUGGAAGACGGUCUUGCUGUCACUUAUAGAUGGAUCCGCGCUGCAUUAGCUAGUUGGUAAGGUAACGGCUUACCAAGGCAACGAUGCAUAGCCGACCUGAGAGGGUGAUCGGCCACACUGGAACUGAGAAACGGUCCAGACUCCUACGGGAGGCAGCAGUAGGGAAUCUUCCGCAAUGGGCGAAAGCCUGACGGAGCAACGCCGCGUGAGUGAUGAAGGUCUUCGGAUCGUAAAACUCUGUUAUUAGGGAAGAACAUAUGUGUAAGUAACUGUGCACAUCUUGACGGUACCUAAUCAGAAAGCCACGGCUAACUACGU